rnacentral:rRNA from 1 species
GGAUUAGAUACCCUGGUAGUCCACGCCGUAAACGAUGGGUACUAGAUGCUGGGUCUAUAGACGGAUUCGGUGUCGAAGUUAACGCAUUAAGUACCCCGCCUGGGGAGUACGGCCGCAAGGCUGAAACUCAAAGGAAUUGACGGGGGCCCGCACAAGCGGUGGAGCAUGUGGUUUAAUUCGAAGCAACGCGAAGAACCUUACCCAGGCUUGACAUCUUAGUGAAAGCCUUUGGAAACAUUGGCCCUUCUUCGGAACACUAUGACAGGUGCUGCAUGGCUGUCGUCAGCUCGUGUUG